GACGAACGCUGGCGGCGUGCUUAACACAUGCAAGUCGAACGGUGAAGCGAGUGCUUGCACUCGUGGAUCAGUGGCGAACGGGUGAGUAACACGUGAGUAACCUGCCCAUCACUCUGGGAUAAGCACUGGAAACGGUGUCUAAUACUGGAUACGACCAACCCUUGCAUGGGGUGUUGGUGGAAAGAUUUAUCGGUGAUGGAUGGACUCGCGGCCUAUCAGCUUGUUGGCGGGGUAAUGGCCCACCAAGGCGACGACGGGUAGCCGGCCUGAGAGGGUGACCGGCCACACUGGGACUGAGACACGGCCCAGACUCCUACGGGAGGCAGCAGUGGGGAAUAUUGCACAAUGGGCGAAAGCCUGAUGCAGCGACGCCGCGUGAGGGAUGACGGCCUUCGGGUUGUAAACCUCUUUCAGCAGGGAAGAAGCGAAAGUGACGGUACCUGCAGAAGAAGCACCGGCUAACUACGUG
rnacentral:rRNA from 1 species